UACAGAGGUCUCAAGCGUUGUUCGGAUUCAUUGGGCGUAAAGGGUGCGUAGGUGGCGCGGUAAGUCGGGUGUGAAAUUUCGGAGCUUAACUCCGAAACUGCAUUCGAUACUGCCGUGCUUGAGGACUGGAGAGGAGACUGGAAUUUACGGUGUAGCAGUGAAAUGCGUAGAGAUCGUAAGGAAGACCAGUGGCGAAGGCGAGUCUCUGGACAGUUCCUGACACUGAGGCACGAAGGCCAGGGGAGCAAACGGG
rnacentral:rRNA from 1 species